rnacentral:rRNA from 1 species
AGGAUUCUCCUAGUAACGGCGAGUGAACGGAGAUUAGCCCAGCGCCGAAGCCUAUCCGUGUCUGCGGACAGGGCAAUGUGGCGUUUAGACGAGAAUCUGGGAGUGCUUGUUUACUCGAAGUCCAGCUCCGAAUAUGGCUUGGAUUUGUUCCAGAGAGGGUGAAAGCCCCGUACGAGUAGACCUGAUGUUUUUAAAGCACGCCUUAGAUAUUCUUGUCUUAGAGUCGGAUUGCUUGAGAAUGCAGUCCAAAGUGGGUGGUAAACUCCAUCCAAGGCUAAAUACCUGCACGAGUCCGAUAGUAGACAAGUACCGCGAGGGAAAGUUGAAAAGUACUCUGAAGAGAGAGUAAAUAGUACGUGAAGCCGCUUGUAUGGAAGCUGGUGGAGUCAAGCUUCUUGUUAUUAGAAUUGGCAUGGAGAAUUUUUGUUCUCGGGAUAAAGGUUCCAUUGGCUUGGCAAUAGCCGAACGGUUCGCCGUUUCAACUAUUCCUGGCAGUGUAUUUGCAGUGGACCUGAAUUUCCAUUCUCUUAUGUUAUUUCUUUUAACAGUUAUCACGAUCAAUGUGCAUUGUUGUGCAUCAUGGUCAAACCGUGUUUUAGAGGGCUAACCGCUCUCUUGGCAUGGGAUGGCAGAAGGUUCCAAGUCUGACUCGUUAGGCUUGGUUCGUAUGAAAGCUCGCUUGUCGGCUAUGAUGCUUUGUUACUAUCGUGCAUAUUGUUUCUAUUGCCGUGUUGUCCGCAAGGUAAACACGGUUAAGAGUCGUGGUAUUGAGGUAGA